GAUUGGCGUGCACGCAGCACAACGGGAACCGGCACCCCAGGCUCGAACCAGAACAGGGAACAGCCUC
rnacentral:SRP_RNA from 1 species